rnacentral:SRP_RNA from 1 species
GCUGGGUGUGGUGGCACACACCUGUAGUCCUAGCUACUCAGGAAGCUAAGGGAGGAGGAUCGCUUGAGCCCAGGAUAGUCGAGGCUGCAGUGAGCCAUGAUCACACCACUGCACCCCAGCCUGGGCAACAGAGCAAGACCCUGCCUCAA